rnacentral:rRNA from 1 species
UACAGAGGUCCCAAGCGUUGUUCGGAUUCACUGGGCGUAAAGGGUGCGUAGGUGGCCAGGUAAGUUUGAUGUGAAAGCUCGGAGCUUAACUCCGAAAUGGCAUUGAAUACUAUCUGGCUUGAGGGUCGGAGGGGAGACUGGAAUUCUCGGUGUAGCAGUGAAAUGCGUAGAUAUCGAGAGGAACACCAGUGGCGAAGGCGAGUCUCUGGACGACACCUGACACUGAGGCACGAAAAGCGUGGGGGAGCAAACAGG